GUUCCGGUGAAGACAUUCAGGGGUUCCGGUGAAGGCAUUCAGGGGUUCAGCAGUGGAGUCACAUGCCGUGCCUUUUAUUAUUGUGCUUCGAAGGUGGAAUGUCGCCCAUAGACCAGAGCACUGGACAGAAUGUUCCAGUAGAACAUGAGGAAGGAAAGGAAGCAAGAUUACAGACCUGGGACUCUGGACUUCAAAUUCAUGUAAACUUCAGGGAGUUGCUACUUGGAUCCACUUGUCACAGUUCAAAUAGACCCCAGAGAAGUGCUUCCUGUCAAUCAACAGCCUAGGUUUCCCCACUUACUGCUAAUUCCUGAGGGGGAAGUUCUAACUGUAAGAUUUUCCUUUAAGUUCCUAAACUUGAACUUAUGUCACUUUCUGAGAUGGCUGGGUGCUGCAUUCAGGAAUGCAGAGUCCCAGGUAUAGACCUGGUACCAGUAGUUGAAUAAAAGCCUCUUUUAUUUGUUAAAAUUUACUAAUGGUCCAACUGGGGAAUCUCUAAAUGACCACAAAUCCAUAGCAAACUGUACCCAAGGGAUGAGCAACGGAACUGAAAUUCCCCAAGGCUGUCCCAGAUCCUUUGUUCUUCUUCCUGGUUCUGGCUUGGGAAUUUUAGCAGACCUUUUCCCAUUGAGCAGGCUCCAGAGCCUGUGCUGUAAUUGGUCCAUCAACUAAUCAGAAUCCCCCACGUGUGUUCAACGUAGCCAACCAAAUUCAUCCUAGCUGGAUGUCUGAUUUACAUGUGGAUGGGACCAAACUGGCCAAUUUUCCAGGAUUUAAAAACCUCUUCCAACACAUGCUAAUGUGCAACUCAUUUUUGAGUCUCUCGUGGCUCCAGAAAGCUGUUUUCUUUGCUUCUUCAUAAACUUUGCUUGCUGCUCCUGAAAGGAAAUGGUAUCGGCUCAGGACCCCAAAGACCAAGUUCUUGGUACAAAGGAUAUUUGUUUGCUCCAGAGGGACAGAGGGCAGGGAUAAGAG